rnacentral:rRNA from 1 species
GACGAACGCUGGCGGCGUGCUUAACACAUGCAAGUCGAACGGAAAGGCCCUGCUUUUGUGGGGUGCUCGAGUGGCGAACGGGUGAGUAACACGUGAGUAACCUGCCCUUGACUUUGGGAUAACUUCAGGAAACUGGGGCUAAUACCGGAUAGGAGCUCCUGCUGCAUGGUGGGGGUUGGAAAGUUUCGGCGGUUGGGGAUGGACUCGCGGCUUAUCAGCUUGUUGGUGGGGUAGUGGCUUACCAAGGCUUUGACGGGUAGCCGGUCUGAGAGGGUGACCGGCCACAUUGGGACUGAGAUACGGCCCAGACUCCUACGGGAGGCAGCAGUGGGGAAUAUUGCACAAUGGGCGGAAGCCUGAUGCGGCAACGCCGCGUGCGGGAUGACGGCCUUCGGGUUGUAAACCGCUUUCGCCUGUGACGAAGCGUGAGUGACGGUAAUGGGUAAAGAAGCACCGGCUAACUACGUG